ACCUCGAUGUGCGCAUUCGCCUUACAUGCAACGCCUCUCUCUCUCUCUCGAUAUCAUUCUUUUAGCCCUCUCUAUUUUGAAAUAGACACGUCUCUUGCACGCCCGCCUGCCCGCCUGCCUGCCAUGACCGUCUGUCUCUGUGUCUGAGAGCUCAUUUUAAAGAAGAGACCUCCGACUUGCAGGGCAGCAAGGUGCCCGAAUGGAAGAGUACAGCAAGUAGGAUUCAAGCCAUGCGUAUGUUGUUGUAUACCUAACGGUGCCUGGGCUCCACAUUCAGCCGCGUUGGAGAGUCGCAGUCGGAUAUCCAAAUACCUCGUGCGCCCUAGAGACCGAGGAGCACCACAGCAGAAGAUUUAAACGACUUCUCCCUGUGCCGAUCGCUUGCUCCAUCUUACCCACUUGUCCUGCCUGCCCCGCCUGCUCUUGAGUGAUGCUGCACGCGGCGAGAAAGGAAUAGUGACGUGGGGUGGCCUUCACAAAAGAAGGAAGAAGAAAAAAAACACGAAUACAGCUUAAUAAUAAUCACGAUAACUGCCGCUUAAAUGUCAAUCAAUACAUA